GAUGAACGCUGGCGGCGUGCCUAAUACAUGCAAGUCGAGCGAACGGACGAGAAGCUUGCUUCUCUGAUGUUAGCGGCGGACGGGUGAGUAACACGUGGAUAACCUACCUAUAAGACUGGGAUAACUUCGGGAAACCGUAGCUAAUACCGGAUAAUAUUUUGAACCGCAUGGUUCAAAAGUGAAAGACGGUCUUGCUGUCACUUAUAGAUGGAUCCGCGCUGCAUUAGCUAGUUGGUAAGGUAACGGCUUACCAAGGCAACGAUGCACAGCCGACCUGAGAGGGUGAUCGGCCACACUGGAAAUGAGAAACGGUCCAGAAUCCUAAGGGAGGCAGCAGUAGGGAAUCUUCCGCAAUGGGCGAAAGCCUGAAGGAGCAACGCCGCGUGAGUGAUGAAGGGCUUCGGAUCGUAAAACUCUGUUAUUAGGGAAGAACAUAUGUGUAAGUAACUGUGCACAUCUUGACGGUACCUAAUCAGAAAGCCACGGCUAACUACGUG
rnacentral:rRNA from 1 species